rnacentral:rRNA from 1 species
AAUCAACGCUGGCGGCGUGCCUCAGACAUGCAAGUCGAACGAUUAAAGCUCCCUUCGGGGAGUGCAUAAAGUGGCGCACGGGUGAGUAACACGUAAGUAAUCUACCCUCGAGUGGGGAACAACGUCCGGAAACGGACGCUAAUACCGCAUAAUGCAGCGGCACCGCAAGGUGACAGUUGUUAAAGAUUUAUCGCUUGAGGAGGAGCUUGCGGCAGAUUAGCUAGUUGGUAAGGUAAUGGCUUACCAAGGCCGCGAUCUGUAACCGGUCUAAGAGGACGGUCGGUCACACUGACACUGAAUAACGGGUCAGACUCCUACGGGAGGCAGCAGUCGGGAAUUUUGGGCAAUGGGCGAAAGCCUGACCCAGCAACGCCGCGUGAAGGAUGAAGUAUUUCGGUAUGUAAACUUCGAAAGAAUGGGAAGAAUAAAUGACGGUACCAUUUAUAAGCUCCGGCUAACUACGUGCCAGCAGCCGCGGUAAAAC